rnacentral:tRNA from 1 species
AUGUAGCUCAGUGAUAGAGCACAUGCCUGGGAUGCACAAAGUCCUGGGUUUAAUCCCCAGCAU